GAUGAACGCUGGCGGCGUGCCUAAUACAUGCAAGUCGAGCGAACAGACGAGGAGCUUGCUCCUCUGACGUUAGCGGCGGACGGGUGAGUAACACGUGGAUAACCUACCUAUAAGACUGGGAUAACUUCGGGAAACCGGAGCUAAUACCGGAUAAUAUAUUGAACCGCAUGGUUCAAUAGUGAAAGACGGUUUUGCUGUCACUUAUAGAUGGAUCCGCGCCGCAUUAGCUAGUUGGUAAGGUAACGGCUUACCAAGGCAACGAUGCGUAGCCGACCUGAGAGGGUGAUCGGCCACACUGGAACUUAGACACGGUCCAGACUCCUACGGGAGGCCGCAGUAGGGAAUCUUCCGCACUGGGCGAAAGCCUGACGGAGCAACGCCGCGUGAGUCAUGAAGGUCUUCGGCUCGUAAAUCUCUGUUAUUAGGGAAGAACAAAUGUGUAAGUAACUAUGCACGUCUUGACGGUACCUAAUCAGAAAGCCACGGCUAACUACGUG
rnacentral:rRNA from 1 species